GUCGUGAGGAUAGUUGGGUUAAGUCCCGUAACGAGCGCAACCCUUGUCCUUAGUUACCAGCACGUUAUGGUGGGCGACUCUAAGGAGACUGCCGGUGACAAACCGGAGGAAGGUGGGGAUGACGUCAAGUCAUCAUGGCCCUUACGGCCUGGGCUACACACGUGCUACAAUGGUCGGUACAAAGGGUUGCCAAGCCGCGAGGUGGAGCUAAUCCCAUAAAACCGAUCGUAGUCCGGAUCGCAGUCUGCAACUCGACUGCGUGAAGUCGGAAUCGCUAGUAAUCGUGAAUCAGAAUGUCACGGUGAAUACGUUCCCGGGCCUU
rnacentral:rRNA from 1 species